GCGAGAGACGUUGCGGCAGCGGCGGGGAAGAGGAGGGUGGGGGUGGUAAAUGGGAUAGCGGGGCGUUAGGGGUGGGGAGGCGGGUGUGUAAGACAGGCGUGAAAGCCCCGGGGGUAACCUGGGAAGUGCGCUUGUGACUGCCAGGCGAGAGGACGGCAGAGGGGGGUGGAAGUCCACGGGUAGCAGUGAAAUGCGUAGAGAUGUGGAGGAACACCAAUGGCGAAGGCAGCCCCCUGGGUCGAUACUGACGCUCAUGCACGAAAGCGUGGGGAGCAAACAGGAUUAGAUACCCCGGUAGUC
rnacentral:rRNA from 1 species